ncrna:Acidovorax sp. CF316 chromate-resist RNA
UCGGGAAACCAGCCUCCCGAAUCCUCACGGAUAGAUGGUGUCCCAUCCAAGUGCUGA